UGCGCGGGUGCGCUGAUUGAGGCGCACACCUGCGUCUCAUGCGGGCUGAUUAGUCUGUGUAUUUAUAUCACCCCGAUGACGUUUGGUCCCAGCAGUUCGUUGAGCUUCAUGUCCCGUUCCAGCACUCUCGUAUCCCUGAUCGACAACCCAUGUGUACCGACCUUCGCCUGUUCUCCGACCAACCUUGUAAGCCUGACUCCUUUGAUACUUCUGCCUGAUUUGAUUGUUCUCCUGUGUACCGACUCCUGCCUACCCGCUCACAUGCUCUCUUCGCCCGACGUCCCAACUACCGCUGCUGCACCGGACUGCCUGCUCGAUCCCUGACCUCGGCAUAUAAUAAACGCUUCUCCUUGAACUACCUGGCAUCGUCCGAGUCCUGCAUUUGGGUCCUACUCUCGUUCCGAUGGGACGUGACACAAGCUAGGAGUUGCAGACAACAUCCCCAUGGCAAUAUCCACAGACCCAUGUACGCAACAAAAAUCUGGCCUGAUGAUGAUGAACAGCUGACUGCUUGUCUGCAACAAUGGCGGUCAAGUACCCGGAUGAACAGCCGUGACGUCACGUGAAACCCAGCCAUUGAGUUCAGAGUGUACCCUGCCUCCUGCUUGAUGACAUCCCGUCAGGCUCCAUCACUCCCGCGAUCCUAGUGAGGAUAAGCAGCUCAGAAAAUGAAUGAAUGGACCUUAUUACCCAGGGC